rnacentral:rRNA from 1 species
CUGGGGUAGAGAUUGCCAGCCAUGCCGCGUGUGUGAAGAAGGCUUCGGAUUGUAAAGCACUUUAAGUUGGGAGGAAGGGCAGUUACCUAAUACGUGAUUGUCUUGACGUUACCGGAAGAAUAAGCCCCGGUUAUCUCUGUGCCAGCAGCGCGUUAAUCC